AUUUAUUUUGUUAUCCUCUGUAUUUUAUUUUAUGCAUUUAAAAGCAUUAUUUAGAGAAGAAACCCCGGGGUUUCCUCAGAUUGUCAAAGGGGUCCAUGACACAUGCAAAAAGGUUAAAAACUCUUGUACUAGAAGCAGAAAUGGUAGAGCAGGUCUAUGACUAUCACUCUCAGCCAUUUGGGUAGACAAGCAAAAUGGAACUUCCAGAGAUGUGGGGGGAAAGAAGCUUACUCUUCAAAGUUGGAAAGAGAAAAGAAGACCCUAUUUGUGGCUACAAAAGAGGAAGGGAGCCCAGCAAGGAAACUACCAGCAGAUGUGCCCUUCUCAGCAGAGCAGAAACUGUGUUCCCAGGGAGAACUCCUACCAUACUACAAAGAGUAAAUUGGCUCAUCUUUCUGAGGAUUCAACAGGGGGAAAAGUCUUCUGUCUUCUUCACAUCAUAA
rnacentral:lncRNA from 1 species